rnacentral:rRNA from 1 species
AGUGAACGCUGGCGGUAGGCCUAACACAUGCAAGUCGAACGGCAGCACAGGAGAGCUUGCUCUCUGGGUGGCGAGUGGCGGACGGGUGAGGAAUACAUCGGAAUCUACUUUUUCGUGGGGGAUAACGUAGGGAAACUUACGCUAAUACCGCAUACGACCUACGGGAGAAACCAGGGGAACUUCGGGCCUUGCGCGAUUGAAUGAGCCGAUGUCGGAUUAGCUAGUUGGCGGGGUAAAGGCCCACCAAGGCGACGAUCCGUAGCUGGUCUGAGAGGAUGAUCAGCCACACUGGAACUGAGACACGGUCCAGACUCCUACGGGAGGCAGCAGUGGGGAAUAUUGGACAAUGGGCGCAAGCCUGAUCCAGCCAUACCGCGUGGGUGAAGAAGGCCUUCGGGUUGUAAGCCCUUUUGUUGGGAAAGAAAUCCAGCUGGCUAAUACCCGGUUGGGAUGACGGUACCCAAAGAAUAAGCACCGGCUAACUUCGUGCCAGCAGCCGCAGUAA